rnacentral:rRNA from 1 species
UACGUAGGUGGCAAGCGUUAUCCGGAAUUAUUGGGCGUAAAGCGCGCGCAGGUGGUUUCUUAAGUCUGAUGUGAAAGCCCACGGCUCAACCGUGGAGGGUCAUUGGAAACUGGGAGACUUGAGUGCAGAAGAGGAAAGUGGAAUUCCAUGUGUAGCGGUGAAAUGCGUAGAGAUAUGGAGGAACACCAGUGGCGAAGGCGGCUACCUGGCAUGAUACUGACACUGAGGCGCGAGAGCGUGGGGAGCAAACAGG